rnacentral:lncRNA from 1 species
CAGUUGGUCCAUUCUUUACUUUUGGGUCUUUCUUGUUCUUGGGUGAUUCAGACUUGAUCAAAGGUUUAGGGAUGAUCUCAUUGGUUUUACUCAUGUGUUUAAUGAUCUUUUCACUUUUGAGAGUCAUGAUUGAUUUGGCAUGCUCAGAAAUGAUAUCUGGAGUAUUGGAGCUCUCAACCAUGAAUUUCUCUCUCGGAUUGCUUUCAGGUUGGCUAGAUAAUUUUUCUCCUUCCCUC